rnacentral:tRNA from 1 species
ACUAUUUUGGCAGAUUAGUGCAUUAGGUUUAGAACCUGAAAUAUAUGAUAAUAAACAUAAAUAGUA